UUGUGCUACUUGGUACCUUGCCAGAGCCAGCAUGGAGGUCGAGAGGAGGGCCGCUUGGUCCUAAAAGGAGACGUUUUCCGAAAGAAAGAGCCACCAAAAUCCCCCAGACUAUAUGAGAUAUAAGCCUGCACACAUAUAGGUCCACAAAGCUUUAGGAAUUACGUGAAGGAAAAAAAUAAUAAUUUCCUCCUCUUGUAUCCGGUUGCAGUAUAUUAAACAUGCUGGAAAAUCCAAGGAUGUUCCAGUUCCUGAACAUGGAUUACACUCUAAAAUGUUUGUUGUUGAAGUAUCACCGUUUUGCUGUCCGUUUAAUGUUAAAAAUAAUGCUGCUGUGCCAUUUACGACAGUGGAAAGGCUUUAAGUUCCUGCAGAAUUCAACAUCAAUUGUUUUUGCUGUAAAUGUUUGCUAUAAUUCGUGCUCCAAUUCGAUUUUACAACCCAGGGCGUGCAAUACAGAAUUUGUUUUCUGUAGCUUAACCAAAAAUGCUCAGUUUAGUCAUGAGCAGAUGGUUUAGUUUAGGUUAUAUGCAGUAUUCUAAAAUACAGCAGCUUAGAUGUUGCACUGGAAAUCUAAAUGUGAGAUAAGGUAAACAUUACAACGUGCAGAACCGUUAAGAAUGCAUCUGUUUUACCACGACAACUUUACAGUGACGUACUUUGAAUUGCUUUCAAAGUAAAACUUUUUGUGAAAACAGCAACAAAAACAGUAUGCAGUGUGUAUUAUCAUGUUACAAGACGCAGAGAUGGCUCAUAUUAUGAGCCAAUAAGUCUCUCUUACCAAGUAAGGUUGUUGCUAUUUUUGAAAAUAAUUCUGCACACUUUUUUGCACAAAACACGCAUCAAAUUCCGUUAUCCUCGCUCACUGAAGUUGCAGUGGUUCUAUGCAGGUUUAAAAGGUUGUAAGUGCUCCUAACCAGGCGCUGUUUAUCACAGUCGUAAAGAUGUUAUGGCAGUGCACUGAAAUCCUCUGUCUGCACAUCCCAGAGGCAACAAAGAUCUUUCCCCCUCUAAUUCAACUGGGUCACAAGGGGCCAAAAUCUGGUCCUCCAAAAGUCAAAUCUUUGUCUACAUGUGGUCAAAAAAAAAAAAAGAAAAAAAAGAAAAAAGCACAGAGAUUGCAUCCAAAACUAUAAAUUUAUCACUACAUGUCAGAAGCCACCACCAUGCAGGACAGGCGGCGAGACGACAUCCUGGGAAAUAAAGCGAGGUGUCAUUUGUGGAGAUACUUCCUGACUAAAGACAUUCUGCAGGAGUAAAUGUCCAUUUAAAAAUUCAACUCAUUGAUGCGGACGGUUUGCAUGUCCAAAAGUGUUAGUGAUUGUAGGGAUAAAUGAGCAUUUCCAGUCUUAAAAAAAAAAAAAACAACAACAAAAAAAGCAAGAAGCAGCAAAACUGUUUCACUUUGAGUGUAGCUUUGAACUGCAGGUGAAACUUCACAGCCGUGGAGAUGAACUUCCAGCCAGGUCAGUGUGUUGGGCGACAGAGAGAGCAGCCCUAUCCACCAGCAUUGUCUCAGGAUGUAUUACAGUAUAUGGGUGCCCCCUAGCGUAUGAUUUUUUUCUCUCUCUUCAAAUAAGAUUCAAUUUAGAGGAGCCAUCCGAGACGGAAACAGCUUCAGUCUCGUCUCUCGCAUCGACCAACCAAACUAACGAGCUGCAGUUUAAACUGAUGACUGUUUUAAUUUCGCUCAACACAACCGUGGAUGGGAGGGAAAAAGCUCUGAUAGCUGCAGGAGUUGGAUUUACUUUUGCACAUUUUUUUCCCCCUCCCCGCUACCUUUACUAAUCCCAGUGGUUGUUUCAAACCGAAUUACAUCAAAUAUUGAGAGAAAUUAGCCGAAUAUAUAUAUAUAUAUAUAUUUUUUUUUGCUUGCAUUAUUAUUUUUUCGUUUACAGAUCCAGCGAAAGUGGAAACGAUCCCAGAAGACGCUGCGAGGAUCCAGUUUCACAUAGAAAAAGGAGUGAAAAAAAAGUUUGAGAGGAGAGAAAGUCGCGACAGCACUCUGCGCAGAGCCAGACGUGGCUCACAUGUGGCCCCCCCCCCAGGCUACAGACGGGGUUUUGGGUUACUGUAACUCAAGGUGUGUUGUGGUUGUAAGGGUGAGUAUGUAAAAAGUACACACACGUAUGGAGAGGCGCAUUUCAGUUUCAGCUUACCCUCAGAGCUUGAGUUUUUAUGUUUUUUUUUAUAUCACUUAUUUUCAGGUAUAAUCAAAAGAGGUGAUGAUACAGUGAUAGAAAACACAUAUUAAGAGCCAUCAAGGACAUCAAAGUAAUGUUCCUUUUGAACAAUAUUCACACCAUGAUACCAAUAUCUUCUAAUAAAAUCACCACUUUAGUAGGUCUUGAAAUAAAAUCAAGGCAGCCAUAUAAAAAGGACUCGUUGUGGCUUGUAUUGUUAUAUCUGGCAAUAACAAUAUGCAGUUCAAAUAAAUGAUCUCUGUUUAGUCA